UAUAUACUCCCUCCGUUCCAAAAUAGAUGACCCAACUUUGUACAAAACAAAGUUGGGUCAUCUACAAAGUUAGUACAAAUUUGGGUCAUCUAUUUUGGAGCGGAGGGAGUACUUU
rnacentral:pre_miRNA from 1 species